GUGAAUCAUCAAAUCUUUGAACGCAAAUUGCACUCUCUGGUAUUCCGGAGAGCAUGCCUGUUUGAGGGUCAGUUCAAAUAUAAAUCGGUGUGGUUGCUGCCUUUCGGGGUGAAGUAGCGGAUUUGGGUCGUAUUGCCUUCGGUUAAGAGACCUAAUAUUUUGCAUGAUUUUCACGUACGUACUUAAAUGAUUUUACGUAAGUUUGCGAUACCGAAUACUAGGUGUGGUCAUCCUCAUGAUUCGAGCAUAUAAUGUUGCAUCAAAAUGA
rnacentral:misc_RNA from 1 species